CAGCAGUCAGGAGGCAGAGGCAGGUGGAUCUCUGUGAGUUUGAGACCAGCCUGGUCUACAAGAGCUAGUUCCAGGACAGGCUCCAAAGCCACAGAGAAACCCUGUCUCGAAAACAAAACAAAACUUUUUUUUUUUUUUUUUUUUUUUGGCAAGAUCUCUGUGUAGCCCUGAGUGGCCUCAAAUUCACAGAAAUCUACCAGCGUCUGUUUCCCAAAUGCUGGGAUCAGAGGCCUGUGCCACCACAUCCAACCUUACAAGAGAUUUUUGUUGUUGUUGUUUUGUUUUUCGAGACAGGGUUUCUCUGUGUAGCUUUGGAGCCUAUCCUGGAACUAGCUCUUGUAGACUAGGCUGGCCUGGAACUCACAGAGACCCUCCUGCCUCUGCCUCUGAGUGCUAGGAUGAAAGGUGUGCGCCACCAACGCCCGGUCACAAUAGUAAUUUCUAAAUCUUUUAAAAAGGUGACAAAGGUGGCUGGGCGUGUAGUGGGUGAAGCCUGCAAUUCUGCGCAUGACUGGAACCCAGGAUGGAGCCAGGAAUACACAGUUGGGUGCUAGGGGUAGGAGUGUUUACCACCCAGUAAAGCUUUUUUUAAAAAAUAAAAAGACCAGGACAGCCUCCAAAGCCACAGAGAAACCCUGUCUCAAAAAAACAAAAAAUAAAAUAAAAUAAAAAGAAUGCAGAGCAGACGCUGAGCUGCCAAUUCGGGUUUUUGUGGCUGGUGGAGCUGUGAGUCCUCAGGGUAGAGUGGAUCCCAGGACUCACGGACACUGCAGCCUCACCCUGCGGGCAGCAGAGCGCGCACGCACCCGGCCCGCUCUCCAGGGUCCUCAUCCCGCCCUGGACGUCUAAGCCGCCUGUUUGCAGUUUCCUUUUGCUUGGUUGGAAAUUCAUCAGCAGGAUUCACGAGGCACGCAAGACUCUCCACCCAGGAGAGUGAGCGACACAAUUCCGCUUUGCUCCCCCGCAUUCGCCAGCGCGAGCGGGUCAGGCACAGCCGCAGACGACUGUGCGCGUCAGGACCCCGGCCGGGCGCCGCUAUAAAGCGCGCAGGCGGGCGGCCACGUGUCUCUUUGUGCGCGCUGGCGGCGAUGCUCGCUCUGCGCUCUGCGGCGGUCGUGGCCCCCGCGCGCCGGCCUCGUGUAGCAGGGGUUGGAGGACACCCACCGGCCGCUUGCUGCUGCAGAAAGAGUGAGCUCUGAAAACCUAGAUUGUGGCCUGACCUGAGGAACCCAGCCUAAGGUGGAAUCUGCUCUUAGACGUGACCCAGGAUGGUGUGACUGCCUGCCCAGUCAUGCCAGUCUCUGGUGGAGAGCAAGCACUUUCUCCUUGCUGUGGUGGACUUAGUUUUUGCUGUGUCAACAGCUGUUGAUGCUUGGUCACAUCGUCUGGACAUGGUGGCUGCUGACUCUACUCUCCUGUUUGAAUUGUGCGAUGAAAUCUUGUCUCCCUGAAAUACUGACAUUGCCUUGGUUUUCUCUGAAAGAUUAUAAUAAAAAAAAUAAUACUCUUAACCCUGAAUUGAUUGGUAUCUGGGUAGUGGGGGGUGAAGAGAAUUUUUGGAAGUAAAGGCUUUCAAUAAUUACAAAACAGUUUUAACCUGGCUGGUGUGUGCACCACGAAAGUGUCUGCCCUACUAGUCCACAGGCAUCAUAAGGAGUUAGGAGCUCAGGCCCUCUUGAGUUACUGUCUUGUUCUUGUGCAAGAGAUUGGUAUGGGUCACAGUCCAGACACAAUUCAAAGUUGAGUGAUUAGACAGUUGGGAGGGGGCGUUCAGGACAGGUUUGCAUUGCUUUGGAGCCUGUCCUAGAAUUUUGCAGACCAGGCUAUCAACUGUGCCUUUGCUGGAGCACACACUUCCAUCCCCUCCACCAAUGCUGGAUUAGAGGUGUGUGCCACCGCCUGUGAGUAGGCAGGCAAUUUGUAAAGAUAAGGCAAGCUUCGUACACCCGCUGGUUAUUUGUGAUGGCUGUUGGCAAGCAUGACAGGUUGCAUAAGGGCACAGUGUAGUUUGGUAGAAGUUAGCCCGAGGUCAGGUAGUGCAUCUUGGAAGUACCCACUGCACAAGGGUGGCAGUGAGUGCUGAGCCAUCUCCAGCCCGCCUCCCCGCCCCCAAGGCAGGUGCUAAAUUCUCUGCAUCAAAUCCCUUCAACAUUGGGGAGUUAAACCUCAGCAUUUCUGUAAACAUCCCAGGUAACUGGUGGAUGGACUCACAGCACCCUGGAGUGUCCCAGACACCCUAACUUUAGAUGAAGGGCAGGGCAUGGUUGCUCCAUGGUAGGGUGCUUGCCUAGCCUACCAGUAGCUAUGGAUUUCGUCCCGGCACCAAAUAAACUGCAUGGUGGCACAAACCCUGCCAUUUGGGGAGGUAGAGUCAGAAGGAUCAGAUAAGGUCAUGCUAUAAGUAGCCUUCCCAGCAGUCUGAACACCAAAGUAAAACAAAGGAAUGUGGGGAAGAGACCAGUAGGGAGUGGAGGGUGAAAGGGGUGGGAAUGCACACCUAGGAAACUUUCAAAAAAAUUUUUGUAUCUCUGACUGUGCUGGAACUCCAUCUAAGAUCAGGCUAGCCUAGAACUCAGGGAUCUGCCUGCCUCUGCCUCUCUAGUGCUAGGAUUAAAGGGAUAAUUUCUUUCUUUUUUUUUUUUCUUUUUAAAGAUUUUAUUUAUAUUGUAUACAACAUUCUGCCUCCAUGUGGGAGAGAACACCAGAUCCCAUUAUAGAUGACUGAGCCACCAUGUGGUUGCUAGGAAUUGAACUCAGGACCUCUGGAAGAGCAGUCAGUGCUCUUAACCUCUGAGCCAUCUCUCCAGCGCCAGGAUACUUUCAAAGAACUUUGAUACAGGUUUUUGUUAAAGGUGGUAUGCUGUUGAGGAAGACACACCAGUCAUAGGUCCCUGGCCUCCAAGCGCCCACACAGGAAGUGUUUCAGGGAGUGAAGACAGUGGUUCCCACCUGUAAUCCCAGCACUCAGGCAGGGAGAUGAGUUUGAGGACAGCCUGAACCAGAGUACACUGUUGUCUCAAAAAUGUGUUUGGGUUGGGCUCAGUGUCCCACACCAGAUAAAGUUUAAAGCAAUACUCCUAGACUGGCAUAGUGGUGCAUUCCUGUAAUCCCAGCAUUUGGGAGUAGAGGCAGGAGGAUCAGGAGUGCCGAGUGAUACUUAACAUAGUUUGAAACCAGCUUGGGACACAAGGCACCCAUUUCAAAAACAAACAAAAACAAGAAAACAACACCUC
ensembl:lncRNA